UACGGAGGGUGCAAGCGUUAUCCGGAUUUACUGGGUUUAAAGGGUGUGUAGGCGGGCUUUUAAGUCAGUGGUGAAAUCUCCGAGCUCAACUUGGAAACUGCCAUUGAUACUAUUAGUCUUGAAUUCUGUUGAGGUGGGCGGAAUAGGUCAUGUAGCGGUGAAAUGCAUAGAUAUGACCUAGAACACCGAUUGCGAAGGCAGCUCACUAAACAGAUAUUGACGCUGAGGCACGAAAGCGUGGGGAUCAAACAGG
rnacentral:rRNA from 2 species